UGAGCCUUCCCAAAGUCUAUCAUCGUUUCUCUUUACUCUCUCUACACUCUACUACUUCUCCCAUUCUUCCCAAAACCCUCUUCUUCUCAUCGUAUUCUCUCCGUCUCGCCGUCAAACGCCUCCAUUCGCCGCCGUUGCUCCGUCCGCAAUCUAGAAGAUUCGUCGCCGGUAAGCGAUUCCAGGCGAAAUCCACUAUGGCUUCCUCUAGAUUUCACCAUCUUGUCCCCGUCAACGCCCUUACUGCGGAGGACGGCGGAAAUGGCACUGGCUCUAAUGGCGCUGCUGAUGCUACUGCUUCUGUUGCUUAUGAUGACGAUGUAGAAUCAGCAUCAGCCACGGGAUAUCGUCUUCCUCCGUUUGAGAUUAGAGAUAUUGUUGAUGCU
rnacentral:misc_RNA from 1 species